rnacentral:rRNA from 1 species
UAGGGAAUCUUCCACAAUGGACGCAAGUCUGAUGGAGCAACGCCGCGUGAGUGAAGAAGGUUUUCGGACCGUAAAGCUCUGUUGUUGGUGAAGAAGGAUAGAGGUAGUAACUGGCCUUUAUUUGACGGUAAUCAACCAGAAAGUCACGGCUAACUACGUACCAGCAGCCGCGGUAAUACGUAGGUGGCAAGCGUUGUCCGGAUUUAUUGGGCGUAAAGCGAGCGCAGGCGGAAGAAUAAGUCUGAUGUGAAAGCCCUCGGCUUAACCGAGGAAUUGCAUCGGAAACUGUUUUCUUGAGUGCAGAAGAGGAGAGUAGAACUCCAUGUGUAGCGGUGGAAUGCGUAGAUAUAUGGAAGAAUACCAGUGGCGAAGGCGGCUCUCUGGUCUGCAACUGACGCUGAGGCUCGAAAGCAUGGGUAGCGAACAGGAUUAGAUACCCUGGUAGUCCAUGCCGUAAACGAUGAGUGCUAAGUGUUGGGAGGCUUCCGCCUCUCAGUGCUGCAGCUAACGCAUUAAGCACUCCGCCUGGGGGAGUACGACCGCAAGGUUGAAAC